AUGUGGCCACCAAACCCCCUGGUGGCCACCACACCCUCCCAUGUGGCCACCAAACCCCCUGGUGGCCAUCCCGCGGUUCCCCCCCGCAGGCGCUCGCCCACCUCGAGGCCUUCAUCGAUUUUGGCGAGGAUGAGGAUGUGGAGGAAGAGGUUUUGUCCCGAGGUGAGGAGGAGCUGCUGGCCCUGGGCCACCAACGGCCCCUGGGCUCAGCACAAAUUCUGUGGUUUUUAUCCCAAAUUUUGGGGAUCAGCACAAAUUCCGUGGUUUUUAUCCCAAAUUUUGGGGCUCAGCACAAAUUCCGUGCUUUUAUCCCAAAUUUUGGGGCUCAGCACAAAUUCCGUGCUUUUAUUCCAAAUUUUGGGGCUCAGCACAAAUUCCGUGGUUUUUAUCCCAAACCUGGAGCUCAGCACAAAUUUCGUAUUUUUAUCCCAAAUUUUGGGGUCAGGACUUGGGGCCUUUCCUGGUGUUUUUAUCCAAAUUUUGGGGCUCAGUUCCAUCCCCUUUCCGGGUGUUUUUAUCCCAAAUUUUGGGCUCAGUUCUUGUUCCCUCUCCCGAUGUUUUUAUCCCAAUUUUGGCCUCAGUUCCCAGGACCUUUCCCAAUGUUUUUAUCCCAAAUUUUGGGCUCUGUUCCAUCCCCUCUCCGGGUGUUUUUAUCCCGGUUUGGGCUCAGUUCUAUCCCCUUUCUGGGUGUUUUUAUCCCAAUUUUGGGCUCUGUUCCCAGGACCUUUCUGGGUUUUUUUAUCCCAAUUUCGGGCUCUGUUCCAUCCCCUCUCCCGAUGUUUUUAUCCCGGUUUUGGGCUCUGUUCUGUCCCCUUUCCGGGUGUUUUUAUCCCAAUUUCGGGCUCUGUUCCAUCCCCUCUCCCAGUGUUUUUAUCCCGGUUUUGGGGCUCAGUUCCCAGGACCUCUCCCGAUGUUUUUAUCCCAAUUUUGGGCUCUGUUCCUGUGCCCUUUCCGGGUGUUUUUAUCCCAAUUUCGGGCUCGGUUCCAUCCCCUCUCCCAGUGUUUUUAUCCCGGUUUUGGGGCUCUGUUCCAUCCCCUCUCCGGGUGUUUUUAUCCCGGUUUCGGGCUCUGUUCCGUCCCCUCUCCCCAUGUUUUUAUCCCGAUUUUGGGGCUCUGUUCCAUCCCCUCUCCCGAUGUUUUUAUCCCGGUUUCGGGCUCUGUUCCAUCCCCUUUCCGGGUGUUUUUAUCCCAGUUUGGGCUCGGUUCCUGUGCCCUCUCCGGGUGUUUUUAUCCCGGUUUGGGCUCAGUUCCAUCCCCUCUCCGGGUGUUUUUAUCCCGGUUUGGGGCUCAGUUCCGUCCCCUCUCCGGGUGUUUUUAUCCCGGUUUCGGGCUCGGUUCCCAUCCCCUCUCCGGGUGUUUUUAUCCCGGUUCAGGCUCGGUUCCGUCCCCUCUCCGGGUGUUUUUAUCCCGGUUGCGAGCUCGGUUCCGUCCCCUUUCCGGGUGUUUUUAUCCCGGUUUUGGGGCUCGGUUCCAUCCCCUUUCCGGGUGUUUUUAUCCCGGUUUCGGGCUCGGUUCCUGUGCCCUUUCCGGGUGUUUUUAUCCCGGUUUGGGCUCGGUUCCUGUUCCCUUUCCCGGUGUUUUUAUCCCGGUUUCGGGCUCGGUUCCUGUGCCCUUUCCGGGUGUUUUUAUCCCGGUUCAGGCUCGGUUCCCAUCCCCUCUCCGGGUGUUUUUAUCCCGGUUUGGGCUCGGGCUGAGCGCCGCCGUGUCCCGCAGUGUCGCUGUCCGUGCGGGAGCUGGAGCGGGAGAUCCGGGCUCAGCUGCGGGACGGGCGCCGGGGGGAGCUGCUCCGGGCCGGGGUCCGGGCGGUCAUCGCCGGCCCCCCGAACGUGGGCAAGAGCAGCCUGUUCAACCUGCUCUGUGAGUGUCCAGUUCCCAAAAUUCCCGAGGGAAAUCCCAGCCGGGGGUUGGGAUCGUUCCCAAAAUUCCCGAGGAAAUCCCAGAUGGGGGCUGGGAUCAUUCCCAAAAUUUCCGAGGGAAUCCCAGCCCGGGGUUGGGGUCAUUCCCAAAAUUCCCGAGGGAAUCGUUCCUGCUGGGCUGGGAGGGGUUGGGAUAAUUCCUGAAAUUUCCCAAGGGAAUCGCUCUGGGGGGGGUUGGGAUCAUCUCCAGUAUUCCCAAGGGAAUCCCAGCCGGGGGUUGGGAUCAUUCCCAAAAUUCCCGAGGGAAUCUCAGCCGAGGGUUGGGAUCAUUCCCGAAAUUCCCCAAGGGAAUCCCAGAGGGGGGUUGGGGUCAUUCCCGAAAUUCCCGAGGGAAUCGUUCCUGCUGGAUCAGGGAGGGGUUGGGAUCAUUCCCGAAAUUCCCCAAGGGAAUCCCAGAUGGGGGUUGGGAUCAUUCCCAAAAUUCCCAAGGGAACCGUUCCUGCUGUCCCCAGGUCACCCACGGGUCUGGAGGGGCCAGGAAAAUUCCCAAAAUUCCAGAGGGAGCCAUUCCAGCACCCCCAAAUCCCCCAGGGAACCCUUCCAGCACCCCCAAAUCCUCCAGGGAACCCUUCCAGCACCCCCAAAAUCCCCAGGCAACCCUUCCAGCACCCCCAAAUCCCCCAGGGAACCCUUCCAGCACCCCCAAAUCCCCUCUGGGCACUCAAACCCCUGCAAUAAUCCCCAAAAUCCCCAGGCAACCCUUCCAGCACCCCCAAAUCCCCUUUGGGCCCCCAAUCCCCCACAAUAA
rnacentral:lncRNA from 1 species